ACCUCUGGUGUACCAGUUGUCGUGCCAACGGCAUAGCUGGGUAGCUAUGUAUGGACGGGAUAAGUGCUGAAAGCAUCUAAGCAUGAAGCCCCCCUCGAGAUGAGAUUUCCCAACUUCGGUUAUAAGAUCCCUCAAAGAUGAUGAGGUGAAUAGGUUCGAGGUGGAAGCGUAGCGAUACGUGGAGCUGACGAAUACUAAUCGAUCGAAGACUUAAUCAAU
rnacentral:rRNA from 1 species